GAGGGCAGCUCCCCUGGGGCCAUAACUGACGAUGGAUGCCCCAAAGGGGGGGGUUAUCAAACCAGAUUUAGAUUCCCUUGGUAGUCCCACACAGUAAAAUUAAGAAUACUCGCUGUUUGGGUAUCCAGUUAGCGGCCAAGCGAAAGCAAUUAAGUAUUCCACCUGGGGGGUACGCCCGGCCACCGGGGAAACUCAAAAGGAAUUUGACGGGGGCCCGCACAAGCGGAGGAACAUGUGGUUUAUUCGAUGAUACGCGAGGAACCUCACCUGGGCUUAAAUUGCAGAUGACAGGAGCCGAAACGCUUUUUUCUUCUGACAUCUGUGAAGGUGCUGCAUGGUUGUCGUCAGCUCGUGCCGUGAGGGUGUCGGCUUAAGUGCCAUAACGAGCGCAACCCCUAUCUUUAGUUGCUAACAGGUGAUGCUGAGGACUCUAGAGAGACUGCCGUCGUAAGAUGUGAGGAAGGGAGGGAUGACGUCAAAUCAGCACGGCCCUUACGUCCAGGGCUACACACGUGUUACAAUGGGAGGCACAGAGGGCAGCUACCUAGCGAUAGGAUGCUAAUCUCAUAAAUCCUCUCUCAGUUCGGAUCGAAGUCUGCAAUUCGACUUCGUGAAGCUGGAUUCGCUAGUAAUCGCGCAUCAGCUACGGCGCGGGGAAUACGUUCCCGGGCCUGUACACACCGCCCGCCAAG
rnacentral:rRNA from 1 species